rnacentral:ncRNA from 2 species
UCCUGAGUCGCCGCCGGUGGUUCGCCCGUCUCCGGGCGGGGCGUCGCAAGAGGGAACCCGGUGGGAAUCCGGGACUGCCCCGCAGCGGUGAGUGGGAACGAACGCCGUGGCCGGUCGUCUCGACCGGCGACACCCGCACUGGGCCUUUCGGCCUGGGAAGCGACGGCCGGUAGGGAAACCCGGCGUGAGCCGGUCCGCCCGCGAGUCCGAAGACCUGCCAUCGGUGCGCACACCGC